CAUAACCACAGUAACAACAUCAAAAUCAGGAAAGUGACGUUAAAAUUUUACUGGCCCCGUAAAUGUACUGUUUAUUCACCAUCAACAGCACCGAGUCCCUUGAGGACAUCCACCAGUGCAGGGAGUAGGUGAAGUGGGUGAAGACUUUGGAAGAUGCCCGUGGUGCUGGUGGGGAACAGGGGUGGCCCGGCCGCCUGCACCCUGGUGCAGCAUUCCCUGGGUGGAGACAGAGGCCAAGACGCGCCAACGCCGCCGCUCCGGCUCUAGCUCCAGCUCCGGCUCCGGGACACUGCGAGCCCCCCGGGACAGCUGUGACGCGCGGCCUCGGGAGCUGGCGUGGAGAACCACACGCCUUCCACUCGCCGAGGUGCGAGAUGGGACAGCACAGGUGUGCCAGCUGAGUCUGUCGGGACAGGUCGGCCCCAAGGCAUCAGCGGCAGGGCCUGCUCCCCACCACCCCCUCCCCAACCCCGAGGCCGCUGCGCGCCCUCUGCAGUCGGCUGGACCUUCAAGGACUGCCCCGCGGCCCAGGAGGCGAGCUGGGAGGUGCCGGGUGCCGGGAGGGGGCGCAGGUGGAGGGCGGAGGACAGAGGAAAGGAAGGAAGUGCCUCUGGAGACCCGGCCAGCCCCGGGGACUGCGGACCCAGUUCCUUCUGCUGAAAUCCUAAUGGAUUGACGUUAUCCCUCUCACUGGAUGCAUCUUAACCAGACUCUGUGACUAACCAAGGAUGAGACGGAAUAUUGCUCUUUAGCUGUCGGAGAGAUACAUAUGGCGGGGCUUUCGUAUGAGCGACAUCUAUGAACUUCACCUACAAGUAAUCAUCUUCAGCAUCUUGUCAUCUGGAAACCGGAAACUAAUCAAGGAAAAAAAAAACAUUCCAUCAAAGAGAGACAGUCUCCAUCUUUCUGUCUGGGGAUUUAUGAAAGGAACAAUGAUUGCUCAUUGGAACUAUCAUUAGAAGUCAAAGUCAAGGACUGCUCAAAAUCAAGUCGUGAAGUAGUUUUAUUUUUAGAACCUAACACAGCUUUCAGUUCAUUCCUUUCCUGGGUGGCUUGUUCCUUUGAUCUGAUAUGCUCUCUUCAGUUUCUU
rnacentral:lncRNA from 1 species